rnacentral:rRNA from 1 species
AACGAACGCUGGCGGCAGGCUUAACACAUGCAAGUCGAGCGCCCCGCAAGGGGAGCGGCAGACGGGUGAGUAACGCGUGGGAAUCUACCCAUCUCUACGGAAUAACGCAUGGAAACGUGUGCUAAUACCGUAUACGUCCUUCGGGAGAAAGAUUUAUCGGAGAUGGAUGAGCCCGCGUUGGAUUAGCUAGUUGGUGGGGUAAAGGCCUACCAAGGCGACGAUCCAUAGCUGGUCUGAGAGGAUGAUCAGCCACACUGGGACUGAGACACGGCCCAGACUCCUACGGGGGGCAGCAGUGGGGAAUAUUGGACAAUGGGCGCAAGCCUGAUCCAGCCAUGCCGCGUGGGUGAUGAAGGCCCUAGGGUUGUAAAGCUCUUUCACCGGUGAAGAUAAUGACGGUAACCGGAGAAGAAGCCCCAGCUAACUUCGUGCCAGCCGCCGCCGUAGUAA